rnacentral:lncRNA from 1 species
AUAUUAGAAUGAUUCAUAUAUGUUUUUUUUUUUAUGAUAUAUAGAGAGAGAGAGAGAGAGAGUUGAGCUGGAAUACUAUCAGUAGCAAACGAGCUCUGUUACCAUCCAUUUAUUUUCGAUGAUGGAGUCUCCAAAUCAACGAUUGGCACAAUUGAAUAUGAUCCGUACCACUUGAAGUAUUUAGAAACCAAAUUUCAAUUCUUUUUUGCAUUAUUGACCUAAUGAUCAAAGGGUUCAAAAUUUUGUAAUUUUGACGGUCGAUAUGACUCAUUUUUUCGUUUAACGGUGUAAAUACUUCCAAAUAAAACCCUCGAUCUUGAUUACAAGAUUCUUAUCAUCAUUUUUAAAGGAUAUUCAUUUUCAACCGUUCAUUUUUGUGUCCACUUGAUGGACAAGAGAACAAUUUCGAAAAAUUAUGAAAUUUGAUUUCUAGAUACUUCAAAUGGUAUAGAUCAUAUUCAACGGUGUUGAUCAUCGAUUUGAAAGCUCCAUCAUCGAAAAUAAAUUCGUAGCAAUAGAGCUCGUUUACUACCGAUAGCAUUCCAGCUUAAUUAUAUAUAUAUAUAUAUAUAUAGUAUAAAAUUGAGCUAGAAUACUCUCAAAAGCACCAAUCCCUUGGUACUUUUGAGUUUCUAGUCCUUGGAUCCACUCCUUGAUUAGUAAUAGCCUUUGGAUCAAACACUAUUCCACCUACCACCACCUACCAUCAUCAUCUCAAUUCUACAUCUCUCCAUCCAAUGGCUAAAAACUCAAAAGUAUCAACCUCUUGUUGCUUUUGAGAGUAUUCUAGCUCAACUCUAUAUAUA